GCCUGGGUGGCUCAGUCGGUUGAGCGUCUGACUUUGGCUCAGGUAAUGAUCUCGCGGUCUGUGAGUUCGAGCCCCAUGUUGGGCU
rnacentral:tRNA from 1 species